UGCUCGACCCUAAACCCCCGAUUUUCCCCCCCCAUACCAAACUCCGCCAGAGAACUACACGCAUAAGCCAGAAACUCCAAGGACUUGACGGUGUCCUAACACCCUAGAGGAGCCUGUCCCAUAAUCGAUACCCCACGCUUAACCUCACCCCCCUUAGCACGCACAACCUAUAUACCGCCGUCGAAAGUCCACCUUGUGAGAGAACCUCCGUGGGCAAAACAGCACCACCCCUAAAACGUCAGGUCAAGGUGUAGUUAAUAGGGGGGGGCCACGAUGGGCUACACUCUUCAAAGUAAAGUGCUGUAAGAGCACCAUGAAACAUGCCCCCAAAGAAGGAUUUAGCAGUAAACCCAACAAGAAUGUUAGAUUGAAGCCACGCCCUAGGACGCGUACAC
rnacentral:rRNA from 1 species